AUGGCCUCCUUCACCAGGUCUCCUCAAGGCCUUCUUACAUUUUACAUUUUACAUUUUAGUCAUUUAGCAGACGCUCUUAUCCAGAGCGACUUACUCACCAGGUCUCCUCAUGGCCUCCUUCACCAGGUCUCCUCAAGGCCUUCUUCACCAGGUCUCCUCAUGGCCUCCUUCACCAGGUCUCCUCAUGGCCUUCAGCAUGUCUCCUCAUGGCCUUCUUCACCAGGUCUCCUCAUGGCCUCCUUCACCAGGUCUCCUCAUGGCCUCCUUCACCAGGUCUCCUCAUGGCCUUCAGCAUGUCUCCUCAUGGCCUUCUUCACCAGGUCUCCUCAUGGCCUUCUUCACCAGGUCUCCUCAUGGCCUCCUUCACCAGGUCACCUUAUGGCCUUCUCCACCAGGUCUCCUCAUGGCCUCCUUCACCAGGUCUCCUCAUGGCCUUCAGCAUGUCUCCUCAUGGCCUUCUUCACCAGGUCUCCUCAUGGCCUCCUUCACCAGGUCACCUCAUGGCCUUCAGCAGGUCUCCUCAUGGCCUCCUUCACCGGGUCACCUUAUGGCCUUCUCCACCAGGUCUCCUCAUGGCCUCCUUCACCAGGUCUCCUCAUGGCCUUCAGCAGGUCUCCUCAUGGCCUCCUUCACCAGGUCACCUUAUGGCCUUCUCCACCAGGUCUCCUCAUGGCCUCCUUCACCAGGUCUCCUCAUGGCCUUCAGCAGGUCUCCUCAUGGCCUUAUUCACCAGGUCUCCUCAUGGCCUUCUCCACCAGGUCUCCUCAUGGCCUCCUUCACCAGGUCUCCUCAUGGCCUUCAGCAGGUCUCCUCAUGGCCUUCAGCAUGUCUCCUCAUGGCCUUCUCCACCAGGUCUCCUCAUGGCCUCCUUCACCAGGUCUCCUCAUGGCCUUCAGCAGGUCUCCUCAUGGCCUUAUUCACCAGGUCUCCUCAUGGCCUCCUUCACCAGGUCACCUUAUGGCCUUCUCCACCAGGUCUCCUCAUGGCCUCCUUCACCAGGUCUCCUCAAGGCCUUCUUCACCAGGUCUCCUCAUGGCCUCCUUCACCAGGUCUCCUCAUGGCCUUCAGCAGGUCUCCUCAUGGCCUUAUUCACCAGGUCUCCUCAUGGCCUCUUUCACCAGGUCUCCUCGUAGCCUCCUUCACCAGGUCUCCUCAUGGCCUCCUGCUUUGUUCUGA
rnacentral:lncRNA from 8 species